rnacentral:tRNA from 1 species
GGAUGGGUUGUGGCUUAGUGGUAGAUCCCCUGCCUGGUAUAUAGAAGACUCCAGGUUCAAUUCCUGGCAUCUCCA